GGGAAGGUGGCUCAGUGGUAGAGCGCUUGCCUUGAAUGCAUGAGGCCCUGGGUUCGAUUCAGCACCCCA
rfam:Dipodomys ordii contig_8711, whole genome shotgun sequence.